GAUGAAGAACGUAGUGAAAUGCGAUACGUAAUGUGAAUUGCAGAAUUCAGUGAAUCAUCGAAUCUUUGAACGCACAUUGCGCCUGCCAGCACUCUGGCAGGCAUGCCUGUUCGAGCGUCAUUUCAACCAUCAAGCCCUAGGCUUGCGUUGGGGCCCUGCGGCUGCCGCAGGCCCCUAAAAGCAGUGGCGGGCUCGCUAUCACACCGAGUGCAGUAGAUUACUCUUCGCUCAGGGCGUGUGGCGGGUUCCAGCCGUGAAACCCCCUACUUCUCAAGGUUGACCUCGGAUCAGGUAGGAAUACCCGCUGAACUUAAGCAUAUCAAUAAGCGGAGGA
rnacentral:misc_RNA from 1 species